UACCCUUCCGGUAAUGGGCAAAUAGACACACUGUUGGUCAUGUUGUUCUUAUACUAGCCAGGGGCAGAGCAGAUGGCAGUCCUCUGUUCAUCCUAGUUUGAUGCCUGGCUUGGUGGCCAAACCUGUUUCAUGCCUAGGACACAUAA